rnacentral:rRNA from 1 species
UUAUUUAAGAGCUAAAUAUUGUAAGUAUAUAAUAAUUACGAAAGCAAAAAAUUAUGGCGGUAUUUUAAGCUUUUCAGAGGAAUUUGCUCUUUAAUGGAUAAAACACCUAAAUCUUACUUAAAUUUGUUAAAUCAACUUGUAUACCACUAUUAAAACAAUUAUUAACUCUAAUUGUUAAUAUUUAAAGCAUAAAUUAAUUUAAAUUAAGUCAAGGUGCAGUAAAAAUUUAAGAAUGAAGUGAAUUACAUUACUUUUAAGGGAAAUAAAAUUAAAUAAAGUUUAGGAUUUGAAAGUAAAAUUAAAAUAGAAUGUUAAUUUGAAUUAAGCUCUAAAAUAUGUACAUAUC